GUGAGGAAUAUUGGUCAAUGGGCGGGAGCCUGAACCAGCCAAGUCGCGUGAAGGAAGAAGGAUCUAUGGUUCGUAAACUUCUUUUGCAGGGGAAUAAAGUGCAGGACGUGUCCUGUUUUGUAUGUACCCUGAGAAUAAGGAUCGGCUAACUCCGUGCCAGCAGCCGCGGUAAUACGGAGGAUCCGAGCGUUAUCCGGAUUUAUUGGGUUUAAAGGGUGCGUAGGUGGUUUGAUAAGUCAGCGGUGAAAGUUUGCAGCUUAACUGUAAAAAUGCCGUUGAAGCUGUCGGACUUGAGUGUAAAUGAGGUAGGCGGAAUGCGUGGUGUAGCGGUGAAAUGCAUAGAUAUCACGCAGAACUCCGAUUGCGAAGGCAGCUUACUAAGCUACAACUGACACUGAAGCACGAAAGUGUGGGGAGCAAACAGGAUUAGAUACCCCAGUAGUCC
rnacentral:rRNA from 1 species